UACGGGGGGGGCAAGCGUUGUUCGGAAUUACUGGGCGUAAAGGGCCAGUAGGCGGCCAACUAAGUCGGAUGUGAAAUCCCCCAGGCUCAACCUGGGAACUGCAUCCGAUACUGGAUGGCUUGAAUUCGGGAGAGGGAUGCAGAAUUCCAGGUGUAGCGGUGAAAUGCGUAGAUAUCUGGAGGAAUACCGGUGGCGAAGGCGGCAUCCUGGACCGACAUUGACGCUGAACGGCGAAAGCUAGGGGAGCAAACGGG
rnacentral:rRNA from 1 species